rnacentral:rRNA from 1 species
CUACGUGCCAGCAGCCGCGGUAAUACGGAAGGUCCAGGCGUUAUCCGGAUUUAUUGGGUUUAAAGGGAGCGUAGGCGGAUUGUUAAGUCAGCGGUUAAAGGGUGUGGCUCAACCAUACAUUGCCGUUGAAACUGGCGAUCUUGAGUGCAGACAGGGAUGCCGGAAUUCGUGGUGUAGCGGUGAAAUGCUUAGACAUCACGAAGAACUCCGAUCGCGAAGGCAGGUGUCCGGGCUGCAACUGACGCUGAGGCUCGAAAGUGUGGGUAUCAAACAGGAUUAGAUACCCUGGUAGUCCACACAGUAAACGAUGUAUACUCGCGGUUUGCGAUAGAUUGUAAGCCGCCAAGCGAAAGCAUUAAGUAUACCACCUGGGGAGUACGCCGGCAACGGUGAAACUCAAAGGAAUUGACGGGGGCCCGCACAAGCGGAGGAACAUGUGGUUUAAUUCGAUGAUACGCGAGGAACCUUACCCGGGCUUGAACUAACGGUGACGAAUCUAGAGAUAG